GAUGAACGCUAGCGGCAAGCCUAACACAUGCAAGUCGAACGGUAACUUUUGGUGCUUGCACCGAAAGACGAGUGGCGAACGGGUGCGUAACGCGUAUGCAAUCUGCCUUUUACUAGGGUAUAGCCCAGAGAAAUUUGGAUUAAUCCCCUAUAAUAUCAUUUAAUCGCAUGAUUUUAUGAUUAAAGCUUCGGCGGUAAAAGAUGAGCAUGCGUCCUAUUAGUUAGUAGGUGAGGUAACGGCUCACCUAGACUCCGAUAGGUAGGGGUCCUGAGAGGGAGAUCCCCCACACUGGUACUGAGACACGGACCAGACUCCUACGGGAGGCAGCAGUGAGGAAUAUUGGGCAAUGGAGGCAACUCUGACCCAGCCAUGCCGCGUGCAGGAAGACGGCCCUACGGGUUGUAAACUGCUUUUAUACAGGAAGAACACCACCCACGUGUGGGUGACUGACGGUACUGUAAGAAUAAGGACCGGCUAACUCCGUG
rnacentral:rRNA from 1 species